rnacentral:tRNA from 1 species
ACCUGGAUGGCUCAGUCGGUUGAGCUUCUGACUUCAGCUCAGGUCCUGAUCUCACGGUUCGUGGGUUCAAGCCCCACAUCAGGCU